UUAUUAAUAGGUUAUAAGACCUUUAAAUUUUGAAUUUAAAAGAAAUAAAUAGUAUUUAUUUUAAUAAA
rnacentral:tRNA from 1 species